AUUUAUUAUAUUUAAUUUUUAAUAUUAGAUUUUUAAAAUAAAAAAUUAACUUUAACAAUAUUACCAAAACUAAAUAUAAAUAGGUUAGUAAUAUUUUAAAAAAUGUAUCAAUUAAUUAUAAUAAAAAUAUCAAUCAAAAAUCAAUUUUUAAAAUAAAAUUAUAGACCAAUUUAGCUAUCAUAUAUGGUGGUCUCUAACUUUAGCUACUACAUGAUGUGGUCGGUAAGAGAUUUCUAUUUUAUAUUCUUUGGUCUCUCAUUAUUUUCAAAUAGAGACCAUAUAAUGAGACCAAAUAGGACCACAAAUGGGGUAGCAAACUAAAGACCUCACAUCUUUUUUAUGGUUAUUUUUAGCAAUGAGAAUUUUAAUGACAAUGAAAUAUGGUCUCUAAAUAGUCACUAUAUGCAUUUAGCGACCAUUUAGAAAUAACAUCUGGUGCAAAUAACCAAUUUGUUGUUGACGUGGUGGGCAUUACUUGCAGUUACAAGAGUUACGAGGAAUUCCUUGCAUGCAUGCUUGUGCAUGCAUUCUUUUAAAAUAAUGAACAAUUUGAAUCAUAUGUUGAUGAAUGCUGAAAGAAAGAAGCAAAAAACCUAAAUAAGGAAAAAGGAAAUUGAAAAAGUAAAGAAAACUAUGAUGGAGGGGAAGUUAUCAAGAAAGAGGUCAUUUCUGUCAAAUGCAGUGUUUGUAGAAAAGUGGGACAUAAUAAAAGGUUCAUAAAAAAAUCAAGAGACUGUGAGUAUUAGUUCUCCCCACACACAUGUGCUUCAAUUUGUUAUUAUUUAGUGUCUUAAUAUAUUUUGUUUUAUUUGUUAUUUAUUUUAUCUUAUUGAAAGAAUUACUAGGCAGCCACUAGUUCACAUGCAUAAACAGAUUCUACUAGAGCGCAACAAGAUGUUAGGCCUGAAUCAAUACCAACUAAUGUCUUUACACCCAACAGAGAUUUCCCUCCUUAACUUGAUGCAACAAAGGAAGUACUGUUAGUUUAAGUGAUGGAUUAUAUGUAAGUGUUGUUUCUUCAAUUAUUUCAUUCAGUUUUAACCAUUAUUUUACAACAUACUAAAGUGCUAAUGUCAUAUCCCAUGUAGGUCCUAGUUGGAUAGAGAAUGUAUAUACUAUUCAAACGGAAAUUGUCCACCUCUCUUAUAGUCAAAGGAGCACAUCAUCUCAACCUCAUGUGGCUGAAACAAUUCACCCUUCGAGCCAACAUGAAAAAGAGAUGGACAGAAGGAUGAAAAGGCUAAGAUCUUAGGGAAGAGAUGUGGCAUCUAGAUUCAUACAAAACACAAGAAGACCAAGCAUUGAAUCUUAGACAUGAAUUAUGACUUUGUGGUAGUUUGUAAGCUGUACAGGACAGGCACCAUUGGCUUUUUUAUAAGGUUGUCUAUCAAAUAGAAAAUAGGUAGAAAACAUUUACUCUAACUGCUAUUUUAUUUACCUAAGUUUCUACUAUAAGGCCAUAUUUUGUUGGUGAAAUGGCACUUUUAUACCAUAUGAUUUUUAUUUUGUGUUUUACAAUUGAAACAAGAAAUUCUG
rnacentral:lncRNA from 1 species